rnacentral:rRNA from 1 species
UCCUGGCUCAGGAUGAACGCUGGCGGCAGGCUUAAUACAUGCAAGUCGAACGGUAACGACCGGUAGCAAGUACUGGGGCGACGAGUGGCGCACGGGUGCGUAACGCGUAUGCAACCUGCCUUCAACCGGGACAUAACGUUGAGAAAUCGGCGCUAAUAUCCCAUGUGUAUGUGAGGCGGCAUCGUCUUACAUAUAAAGAUUCAUUGGUUGAGGAUGGGCAUGCGUAACAUUAGCUGGUUGGCGGGUAACGGCCCACCAAGGCGACGAUGUUUAGGGGUUCUGAGAGGAUUCACCCCCACACUGGAACUGAGACACGGUCCAGACUCCUACGGGAGGCAGCAGUAGGGAAUAUUGGGCAAUGGAGGCAACUCUGACCCAGCCAUGCCGCGUGAAGGAAGACGGCCCUAUGGGUUGUAAACUUCUUUUGCCGCAGAGUAACCGCGGGGACGAGUCCCUGCCUGAGAGUAUGCGGCGAAUAAGUAUCGGCUAACUCCGUGCC